GGGAGGAGGUGCAGGGCCUGGCCAGAGCGGGCCUGGCCACGGGCAAGGGACAGCGACCUCCUGGGCCAGGACAGGUGAGCGCGGCGCAGGCCCGGGCCCGGCGUGUCCGCGCUGCGCGGGAGAGGCCAGCAGAGGGCGCCAGAGAGCCAGGAGCGGCCCGCGGAGGAGCCCGCGCCCGCCCCGAUGCCCAGCUCCGCGCCUCGCGGACCCAGCAAGCUCGCGCUCAGACGCCCCAGCUCCGCCGAGAGGACGCUCGCCCCGGGUGCUUCUUUUUCCCCAAGUGCAGGCAGAGCCCCUGGAGCCAUGGCCAGCCCUUCCGGCAGCUCCGAAGCCACUGGCAAGCCCCGAGGCAGGGAUGGCCGGCCCAGGAGGGAGGAGGACGACGUCCCUCCUGAAGAGAAGAGGCUGCGGCUGUUGCUGGAGGGGGGAAGAGCACAGCCCGAGGACUGCGAGGACGGGGAGGACGCGCUGCGGCCGGGCAAGGAGGACACCGGCACCCAGACAGGUGGCGACGGCAGAGGAAUAACCUUCACUCUUCUCUGCAACGAAUCCCAAAAGUGUGUAGUUGAGCUGACUGCAAGGUGCUUGACACGCAAGAGAUUCCACAAAUGGGAUUCGGCCUCUGGAAAGUGGUGGUAGUUCCAGAUUUAUGUGAAUGUUACUUUGUUUUUCCCUAUAAAAUCUAUUCUUUAAACUAUCAA
rnacentral:lncRNA from 1 species